rfam:Triticum aestivum genome assembly, contig: Triticum_aestivum_CS42_TGACv1_scaffold_500614_6BL
UUUGUAUUCCCUCUGUCCCAAAAUUCUUGUCUUACAUUUGUCUAAAUAUGGAUGUAUCAAGUCAUGUUUUAGUAUUAGAUACAUCUGUAUUUAGAUCAAUCGAAGACAAAAAAUUUGGGACGGGGGGUUAGAAA